rnacentral:lncRNA from 1 species
CCUAACUGGUCAGCUUUACCACCUGAAGUGCUCAAGCAUCUCGCCAGCCUAGGGACAAUGGACCGUCUUGUCCGGUAUCGCGCAGUGUGCAAGCAGUGGAGGAAUGCCCUCCCACCUCUGGGGGACGUCAAUGCCAACUUCCCUAUCGAUCCAUGUGUGAUUUGGGGCUAGCUGGCUAAUUAACUAGAACAUAUGUAUUGGAAAUCUGUAUCUUUUAUGUUCUGUUGCUUCAUUCCUUUCACCUUAAGUACUGGGCACGGUACUAUGCAUGACUUGCAUUGUAUGAAGUAGUUGGUACUUGGUAGUGCUACGUUCUACCUUAUACAAAAAGAAACUGAAAGUGCUUGUGCAUUUAUUAUAUUUCUAAAUUUCUUAUCAAUGUAAUUGCUUGUAUGCAUAUACUGGGGUUGACUUGGGAGUGGAUUUUCGCAACCUAGGUAUGUGCAUCUGGUUGCUUGCAGUAAUCAGAACACAUAUGUGCAUGUUAUUACAAAUUAUGAUAAAUUUGUUGACACAUGACAAAGGCAUCCUUACUUAUUUAUAUCCUGCAUCUUGUUAUUAGUAUCCGAAGAACCACAUGCGAGAAAUUGUUGAAUCAAUGAAAUUCAACAACAAUGCAAUUUGAUGCAUGGUACUAGAAAACACAUUUUUUUAGAAGGGCCUACAAUUUUUUUAUAUAACCCAACAAAAAAUACAUGUAAAAUUUUCGGAUUAUAGAUUCACGAAACAACAAAGUAACUCCUAUAACUAAGAAUUUCAAUGAAAUUUCUGAGAAACAUCUUCCUCUUGUUAUAAAUCUUUGCCACACAAAAUAGUGACAGGCCUUCAGUGAAGUGAAUGCAAUCAAAUAGGAGCAGUGAUGCUGCCAGUCUAGAUCUACACAAACUUGACUACCUUCGUAGAUUUUAGAAACCCUCUUUAUUCUCUCAUCUAAAAGAAUGGGAAGCCGUAAACAUUGAAAGUACUUGAGCCAGGAUGACCCAAUAGAGGUGCAGGUCGUCGAACCACAAGAGAUUCAACAGAAUGCCAAAGGACUCAAAAGUCACAAAGGAUUAAAACAAUAAAUUAAACAACAAAAACACAUUAACACGGACUCACCAGGUCUGUAGGAACGGAUCACAAAGAAAUAAACCUAAAAUCCGCAUGGUUGGACACACAAAAUCUGUAGAGAAACAAAUUUAGUUUCAUGACAACGUUUGAUAAGACGCUGCCCUUACAGGAGAAGAACUUCAGUACCUUUAUUCUCAACGACAUCGCAUGCCUAGCCAAGACGUUUCUGAUGAAGACAAUAAAAAUCCCGCUAAUAAAACAAUUGAAUCUGCCUAAACUUUGGAACAUUGCGGCUGUAGGAGAUGGGAACUAGCAAUGUUGCAUGAGGAUGAUGAAAAGGAAUGUAAGCACACAAAAUAUCUGGUAGGUGAAAAGUCAGGCAAAUACAAUAAAAAUGAUUAACAGAACCAAUGAAUCAUAUGAGAGGAAAGGAAGAAAUAUCAUGUAAAGCAAACUUUCAGCUGUACCAUUCUUUUUUUUAAGGAACACCAAUGCGUUCCAUUAUAUAACAGUACAGGGCAAAUCACCCUUUACAUAGUCCAACACAAAGUCUGGAAGUUGGCCCAGCCAUGUCUCACACACAUCAACUCCCAGAUCAGCUCCAUAUGCAGCUAAAAAUGUGCCACCCUAUUACAAUCCCGAGGGCAAGACACAACACUACUAACAGAAAACCCCACAUGCAUUUGGAAUUCGAUGCUCCUGAUAAUAGCUCCUAAAUUCGCUAGAUCAUAAUGUUUAGAGUUUACUGCCCUCAUCAGCUGCUCGGAGUCAGUUUCAAACAAAACCUUGUCACAGCCUAUAUUAAUAGAUAUUUUUAUAGCAUACAACAAAGCCAAAGCUUUAGCGUGCAGAACAUCUGAGAUAUGCGCUAGUUUGCCUGUCCCUGCAGCCCUGGCUCUGCCUUGGUCAUCUCUGAUGAUGAAUCCCUAGCCACCGGAGUUGGUUUCCCUGUGAAAAGCCGCAUCAGUAUUAAUCUUGAGAAAACCAUUUGGCGGCCGAGACCAUUUUUGGUCCAGCUGCUGCUUUUGCCCUUUAGUAGUCUUAUUAUUGCUCUUCAUUACACUUGAUACAUGAUAAUCAAUAGAAGAGCAAACAUCCUUGGGCGAGAUAGAGGUUUCACCCGAGUUUGCCUUAUUGCGCAUAUGCCACCAGUGCCAAAGAAGCAAACAUGUUUUUAUUUUAACGUCCUCUUCAAGAUUAAGAAUUUGUUCUAUGGUUCUUAAGGCACUAGUGCAGCCAGCCAAAAGCAGUCUAACAUGCUCCAGAUUUAAUCUCCUCCACACCUCCUUAACUUUCUUACACAUAAAAAAGCAAUGUCCUCCCACUUCGUCAAAUCUAAAGCAUACAGGACAGCGAGUAUCUACAUCCAUACCUCUGCUUUGUGGCUUUGCCCGUACUGGUAUGCUUUUUGUAGAUAAAUGCCAUAAAUGGUGAAGCACUUUAUUUGGGAGGCGAAGUGACCAUAGUUUUUGCCAAUCAAACUUGCAUGUUCCUCAUCUGCACUUGAGGUGGAAGUUAAGCCUAUACUAGAUUCCCAAGCGGCACUAUCAACUGCUACUCUAUAAACAGAUUUAACAGAAAAAGUACCUAUCUGUACCAUUCUUUUUUGUAUAGAAGCGUGCCAUACCAACAAAGCGAGGAGAGAAUGCAAUAUGAGCGUUAAUUUCCUUUUUUUAGGGCAAAACCAAUUUUUUUCAUCAAAAGCCACAUGAAGUGUGAUACAUGUAAGUCAUGGGGUUGGCCAAACGAGACGUGGCGCCCCGAACAAAAAGAGUGAGUACUUGGCUAAGCUAUGUGCCUCUAGAUAGUUAAUUUCCUGUUUGACGCGACGCCUCGAAUCACACAAAGAACAACCCAAAACGGGCCAGCCCAUUUAGUUGUACAGUAGUUCCCCGAUAUUUGGGAACCUCCAUGAUGGUUUCAGUCUGCUUUUUAUGGGGGUAACUAACCAAGGGUACCUCGUAAGGGUCACUUUUAGUGGGCUGAGAGUGUGCCAAGUAACGCUCUCUCAGCCACCGUCACGUGUUGUAUGCUGGGUGCUUCCUCGGGAUUAUUUUCUGUACGCGUUUUCGGGUUUAUGAUGUGUUUUUUUGGUUUUUUGGUUUCAGGACGGUUUUUCCAAGAUUGUUGAGAAAAAAUAAAAUAAAAAUUGCACGAAAGAGCGUGUGUUUUUUCUUUCGUAAGGGGCACAGAUUUGUUUCUCGUGUAGGCACAGAUUUGCUUCUCGUGGUGGCAUGGAUUUGCUUUCAUGAACCUCUCGCAAAGGACAAAAACACGGGGUUUUCUUUCUUUUGUGAGAUCCUUAAAUUUGAGGCUAGGGUUUGUUUCCACGACUGUCGGAAAGGAAACAACGUGUUUUCCUCUUCCGCAAAAGGCAUUGAUUUUCUUCUUGUGAAGGCACAUAUUUGCUUCCGCGAGAGACACAACUCAUAAAGGAAAAAAGUGAGAAAACCCCGCGCUUCGAGCUCGUGUUUUUCUUUCAUUUUUUCGUGAAAUAAAAGAUCGUCAAAACCUAAUAACAUAAGAUCUAGAUUCGAAGACCUUGACACGAGAAAAUCAUCGAUGAAAACGGUUCGGGAUUUGGACAAAUGGUUUAAGGGAUAAAAAUGUUUCGAAUAAACAAAUUUACAAAAAAAAAUCCAAGGUUACGACAAGUGGCACACAUGCAGUGCAUAAUUUGUCAAUGUGCAUCACAUAUCGGAACCUGCAAUGGUGAGAGUGAUCUUUACAAGGUACCCCUUAAUUAGCGAUUUCGGCUUUUUACCUUUUUUUCUUUUUUCUGCUGUUUAUUUUCCUGUUUUCUUUGGGGUUAUUGUUUCUACGCGACGCGCGCCCCAUAAUAAAGUUGCAUAGUUGGGCCAUAAUUUGCACGUACAUGCUUUUUGGGCCAUGUUUUAACUAGGUUAAAUCGAAACGAGCGUAGGUCACCUCUCGCUACCCUCGAAAAAAAUAAGUCACCUCUCGCUAGACCAUUUUGUCGCCUUUUGUUGGCCUAUCUAGUCAUGUUACCCUAGUAACGGAAAUAUGGGUUGUCAUACUUUACGUCACAUAUAAAUAAUUAUAUUUUAUAGCAGAAACGCUCCUUCGAGCGACCAAAGCGGAGCCUAAUCUAACAACUUCCCUAGUAUCGCGCUGGGGGCCCACCACAUGAUUGCAAAGACGUGCAAACGCCCACCCAAUGGACUUUCGCGCGUGUGGGGGGGGGCACUAAUUACACCAUAAUACUUUCCCUAAUCCUAUAUGUAACCUGCUGCACACUUUCCAAAUCGGGACAUCUCGGGCUGUCGGAAAGCGAGCGUUCGCACGCGCGCGCGCAUUAGCAACGCCUUUUUUAUAGUUGCCUUUUUUUUGUUCAAUCCACCACUGAAACCCUUCCUUCAAUCCACUACUGAAACCCUAGUAAGGACAAUAGAAUCUGCUGGAUUUUUCUUGACUAUCACGCUUAGAAAAUUUAGGUUCCCCCGUAUUUUUGUUGCACCAGGUAAAUUUGUUUUUACCUCCUAGCCAAAAACUUACAGUGAAAUGUUUUCCAAUCAACCAAUCAUGGAAGAUCAGCGUUGAGUGUGUGAUGACAAAGUAGUCACUUCUUACUACUAACCAUUAUUAACCACAACAUAGUCUAAGCAUGACAGUCAAGAAUAUGUCCACUCUCCUAAAUAUUAUACUACUAUACUACUCCCACAACCAAUCUACAUCCUCCAUUAAAUCUCUAAUGAUAAGAGCCCAUUUACAUUCUACAAGGUUGGCAUACCACCAUUAACUCAUAUCAUCAGCUCCUGAUUUUGGAUCUCCAUAUCUUGUUGCCAGUUAAUGACUUGCAAAUCCCAUAAGCAAAUGCAGAUCAGCAAAACCCAUAUCUUGGCACCAAUUAGUGACUUAUAAAUCCCAUAAAUAAAUGCAAAUAAGGAAGACCCAUAUCUUGGCACCAAUUAAUGAGUUAUAUAAAUCUUAUAAUUAAAUGCAGGCCAAAAAAUGCUACUCCUCAAGAUGGAGAGGGGAGCACACACCUCUGAUAUAUAAAGGGACCAGGUGAGGGAGGAAAGACGACAACCCAUAUUUCUUCAGCACCAUUCUCACUGUCUGCCUUCUACUCCUCCCUAUUUGUAUGACACACCACACAUAGAGGAGAGAAGAGAUGAGAGCAUAGCAGAGCAGGGCAAAAUCCUAGCUACUCCCUAUCCUGUAAGAUUCGCUCCUCGCCGAUGUCAGCCAUGUCGUCCUUUGACUUUCAGACGCCUCUGACACGUGAUAACCCUUGCUUGUACAUGCUCUCUCUCUCUCUCUCUCUCUCUCUCUCUCUCUCUCUCUCUCUCUCCAUUGCUCACUGCACUCGACCGUCUAUAUGUUGAUGCUCCCCCCUCUUCGCACAUAUUACUAUUUAACAAGAUUUCAUGCAGGCCUAACUGGUCAGCUUUACCACCUGAAGUGCUCAAGCAUCUCGCCUGCCUAGGGACAAGGUACGGUCAUGUCCGGUAUUGCGCAGUGUGCAAGCAGUGGAGGAACGCCCUCCCACCCCUAGGGGACGUCAAUGACAACUUCCCUACCGAUCCAUGUGUGAUUUGGGGCUAGCUGGCUAACUAGAACAUAUGUAUUGGAAAUCUGUAUCUUUUUAUGUUCUGUUGUUUCAUUCCUUUCACCUUAAGUAGUGGGCAGAGUACUCUGCAUGACUUGCAUUGUAUGAAGUAGCUGGUACUUGGUAGUGCUAUGUUCUACCUUAUACAAAAAGAAACUGAAAGUGUGUGUGCAUUUAUUGUAUUUCUAAAUUUCUUAUCAAUGUAAUCGCUUGUAUGCAUAUACUGGGAUUGACUUGGGAGGGAUUUUCGCAACCUAGGUAUGUGCAUCUGAUUGCUUGCAGUAAUCAAAACACAUAUUUGCAUGUUAUUACAAAUUAUGAUAAAUUUGUUGACACAUUACAAAGGCAUCCUUUCUUAUUUAUAUCCUAGAUCUUGUUAUUAGUAUCCAAAGAACGACAUGCGAAAAAUUGCUGAAUCGAUGAAAUUCAACAACAAUGCAAUUUGAUGCAUGGUACUAGAAAACACACUUUUUAGAACCUACAAUUUUUAUAUAAACUUGACAAUGAAUACAUUUAAAUUUUUU